rnacentral:rRNA from 1 species
GUGGGGAAUUUUGGACAAUGGGCGCAAGCCUGAUCCAGCAAUGCCGCGUGUGUGAAGAAGGCCUUCGGGUUGUAAAGCACUUUUGGCAGGAAAGAAAUAGCGCGUGCUAAUACCAUGCGCGAAUGACGGUACCUGCAGAAUAAGCACCGGCUAACUACGUGCCAGCAGCCGCGGUAAGACGUAGGGUGCAAGCGUUAAUCGGAAUUACUGGGCGUAAAGCGUGCGCAGGCGGCUUUGUAAGACAGGUGUGAAAUCCCCGGGCUCAACCUGGGAACUGCACUUGUGACUGCAAGGCUAGAGUGUGUCAGAGGGAGGUGGAAUUCCGCGUGUAGCAGUGAAAUGCGUAGAGAUGCGGAGGAACACCGAUGGCGAAGGCAGCCUCCUGGGAUAACACUGACGCUCAGGCACGAAAGCGUGGGGAGCAAACAGGAUUAGAAACCCCUGUAGUCC